UUACUCCCUCCGGUCCAUAAUAAAUAUGUACGGAGUACUUAUACUUAUUAUGGACCGGAGGGAGCAA